rnacentral:rRNA from 1 species
CGCGUAGGCGGGAGUGAAAGUCAGAUGUGAAAUUUCGGGGCUCAACCUCGAAGCUGCAUUUGAAACUUCAUUUCUUGAGGAUAGGCGGAGAAAACGGAAUUCCACAAGUAGCGGUGAAAUGCGUAGAUAUGUGGAAGAACACCGGUGGCGAAGGCGGUUUUCUAGCUUAUACCUGACGCUGAGGCGCGAAAGCAAGGGGGAGCAAACA